ensembl:lincRNA Gm28818 predicted gene 28818
GAAUAUGGAUCUUUGUGAGCUCAAUACAAGGAAAACACUUUCAUUUAAUGGUAGCUCUGGGCAUGGCCCUUGUCUCUCUGAAGACUGCUCCGCCUAGCCUGUUUUGAGCCUGAUGGUUUUCCACGUAGCUAGCCUAUGAAGGCUGAGUUGGAGAGGGGACUGGGAAUACAAUCACCUCUGAUGGCUGAGCCAGGUCUCCCCAGAUUAUAAAGAUGACUCCCACCAAGCCAGCAAAUCUUGCAUCUCUGGCAACCCGGCUAUGCUCGAACUGAAAAACAGCAUCGGGAGUUCACGCAUCCGUGGUAGCCUUGGUGCUGGUACCAUUUAAAUCUCUGGGGAUAAGAGGUUCUUUCCAGUGCCAGCGGGUCAGACUGCUCUCAUGAACAAUGAUAGUUAGGUCUUGGAACCCUCUUCCCCCUUCUAACUCCCCAGUUCUACCUUUCCCUCCCUGUGUCCAGUCACUGAAGCUGAAAACGGUCUCCUUUUGUGGGACACAGCGCCUUCUUCUAAAAUGAGCCUCAAUCAUUGGCUUUCCUCGCUUCCUCCCGGCUCAGAUGGAAAAGCCUUUAAACUGAGUUCCCAGUGGUUUUCCUUUCUCCUGGAAACUUUCAUCAUCGAACUGGGAAAGGAUUCAGAAGCAAGAGAGGUGGAAAGCAGCUUUAUGCAAAGAGGGAGAAGUAAGAGGUGGAGGCAAGGAGGGUAACUCGGAGGCCUGGGAACUGUGUGGUAUUCUCUCCAGUGUGGGUCUCAUUCCCCCGUGACCUUUGGCACACUAAAUGAAGGAAAACUGGCAGGCUCAGCAUUUUUGUCCACCCUGUCAGGACUUUCCAACCUCGACAUAUUUCCUUUAUCAGCCUUCGGGGCUGCCAGAAAGCCCCUAGAACAUUUAUACUUCAGGAUGCCUUUCCUUUUCUUUCAAAUGCCAUGUCCAAAUUACUGGGUUCAGACGAUGAGAAUUCCUAAUGGCAUGCAGAUGCAUCCCUAUAAGGAGAAAGGUACCAGGCAGUGUCUUCCCAGAAAACAGCCAUGUGUCAGAGUGCAUCUACCCAUUUACAGAGUUUCAAGAGGAAGGGAUGAAGGGAAGGUCAACUCUGAGGGAUGCUUGAGGUUCCUUUAUUUACGGUCACUUUAUGAUGUGCCAUUUAAGAACAAUGGAGGAGAAUACAGGUCAUUUUUAGUAGGAGAAUAAAAAGGAGAAUACAUCAAGGAGCUGAUCUAUACAAAAUCUUGGUGAACUAUGUUUUAUUGGUGGGGAGAUAUGUGCAUAGAUCUUGAAAUAAUUCAGCAUCUUUAAGCAUGAAACUGGAGAAUUAAAAAUGCCAACAUCUUUUUGCUAGAUUGGUUCUACUUUUAUUCCAAAUUACAAAUAGGCAGAAAGGCCAUCUUUACCUUUUGGCCCAGUGAAUUGUGUGUAAACUGACCUGCAGAGACAGGGAGGGCAACUGCUCUGUGGUACCAGCUUACAAACUGAGAGAUCAAAGUCGGCUUCUCCAUGUGUGAGGACAGAGUUUUAUAGUUUAUAAAUGUUAAGUUCACCUCUGUGGAGCAAACAUAACCCUCAGCUAUUAUUUAUAAAGCUGUUAAUGGGAUAAAGCAAUCUGACAGUGCCUGUGGCUGUCUGAUGGUCUAACAACCUGAAGACCACAGGGUUUUCACUGUUUUACUGUGUAUGGUGAAUCUGCAAAGAGAGGAGAGAGGGCACAUGAAAGAUCCGUUUUCUCCUGUGGUUCUCUGGUUUGGUGGGAAAGAAGGUUCAAGAGCUCAGCUAAGGUCCAGCGUUAUGAUGAGGUUCAUCACAACGGCUUUCCUUCUCCUUGAUGCUAACCUGGUGGUGUGGUUGACUGAUGGUAUUGGUCUACGGACAGAGUUCUUGCUGCGUUGUUAAGUGUGGUGUGAGGAAACACUGAACAGGUAGAGAAAAAGAAGAAAUAUCCUUUGACAAUAAGACUGGUGCAGUCGCCAAAUAAUCUUAAUCCACAAGCUAAGAACAGUUUUCCUACCUAAACCAAUGAAGAAUAUAAUAAUUGCAUUUUAGCUUAUUUGUGUCUGUCUGUCUGUCUGUCUGUCUGUCUGUGUAUAUAGAGGAUAGAAUUCAGCCUCAUGUAUUGUUCCUCAGACACCAUCCACAUUCUUUUUAAAGACAAUGUCUCUCACUGGGACCUGGGAUUUAACAAAUAGUCCAGGCUGUCUGGGCAUCCAGCACCAGAGAUUCCCUGUGUUGAGUUCUCCCCACUACUGGGUUUGCAGACAUAGGACUUCUAUUCUCGUCAUAUUUUCACAUGUGUGUGCUGGAGAGCAACCUCAGGUCCUCCAAACACUUUAUAAACUGGGCUAUCUCUGUAUCCAAAGUUACCGAUCACUUCCAUCAUUACCAUCAUCAUCACCAUCACCAUCACCAUCAUCACCACACCAUCACCACCACCACCAUCAUCACCAUCACUAUCAUCACCACCAUCAUCACCAUCAUCAUUUAAGAAUGGAGUCUCAAUGUUGGCUUGGUGUCAGAAGGGAACCCUGACUCCCAGGUGAAAGAUGCCUGCCAAUUGAAUCUCAUGUCACCAGACAACAAAAGCAACAAGUAAGUCAAAAUGAGUUGGAAGUCUUAUUCCUUUCUAC